UGACCCGACAUUUGCGCGAUAGACAUAUGAGCGCCGACAAAAUAGUGCCUAUUAAAACGUGGCGUCAAAAUCUUUUCAAAAGUUUCAUUAAAUAUGAAUUACUAGUUUAAAGCAUAUAUAAUAAUGUUUAUUUUAGAAGUCAAUAUUAUGAGACGCCUUGUGCCCUGUACACGGCACGCAGAUAGUCCUUAAGAUCACGCCCUGCAUAUGUAGGAAGAAUUGCAGCAAGACGUCUUGAUAGUUGAGCGUAUUUAGACUUUCUGGCUGCCUGACUGCUGGUAAAUCCACUUUGUAUACGAC